rnacentral:rRNA from 1 species
GCAGAACGCGAAGAACCUUACCCACCUUUGACAUGUACGGAAGUUGCCAGAGAUGGCUUCGUGCUCGAAAGAGAGCCGUAACACAGGUGCUGCAUGGCUGUCGUCAGCUCGUGUCGUGAGAUGUUGGGUUAAGUCCCGCAACGAGCGCAACCCUUGCCAUUAGUUGCUACAUUUAGUUGAGCACUCUAAUGGGACUGCCGGUGACAAACCGGAGGAAGGUGGGGAUGACGUCAAGUCCUCAUGGCCCUUAUAGGUGGGGCUACACACGUCAUACAAUGGCUGGUACAAAGGGUUGCCAACCCGCGAGGGGGAGCUAAUCCCAUAAAGCCAGUCGUAGUCCGGAUCGCAGUCUGCAACUCGACUGCGUGAAGUCGGAAUCGCUAGUAAUCGUGGAUCAGAAUGUCACGGUGAAUACGUUCCCGGGUCUUGUACACACCG